rnacentral:misc_RNA from 1 species
AAGUCGUAACAAGGUCUCCGUAGGUGAACCUGCGGAGGGAUCAUUAACACGUUUUAACAACGUACCCACCAAACCAAUGGAAACCGCUUGCAAAGGCAGUUCUCUCCCUCUAUCAUUUCAUUGAUUUCAUUGAUUUCAUUGAUUUCAUGGAUUUCAUGGAUUGAUCGAGGCUCUUCCCUUUCUCUGACCCCUUUCCAACUUCAAUGCUUUCAUUUCCGCUGUUCACUUGUUGUCACUUGUUGUCACUUGUUGUCACUUGUUUUCAGCGUUGUUGGUAUUGUUCUGUUCUGACCUGUAUUCUAUCUUGCUUGUCUGUCUUGCCGUCGGUCCUUCCCUCGGGAACUUCCCUCGGCUUGCUUUACUUGCUGGUAGUUGAUAUUUAAUGCAAGCACAACUCUUAGCAACGGAUAUCUUGGUUCUC